rnacentral:rRNA from 1 species
UACGGAGGGGGCGAGCGUUAUUCGGAAUUAUUGGGCGUAAAGGGCGCGUAGGCGGCUGUACAAGUCAAAGGUGAAAUCCCUCGGCUCAACUGAGGAACUGCCUUUGAAACUGUACGGCUUGAGGCCGGGAGGGGGUAGCGGAAUUCCCAGUGUAGCGGUGAAAUGCGUAGAUACUGGGAGGAACACCAGUGGCGAAGGCGGCUACCUGGACCGGUUCUGACGCUGAGGCGCGAAAUCUUGGGUAGCAAACAGG